UGAAGAAUGGAGGGAGAGUGGAAACGGACGUAAAAACGGAGGAGCUGUGAAAUUGUUCGGUGGUUACAAAGUCGGGUGAAGAGAAACUGUACGUGUGGAUACAGAGACUGUUGGGAGAAACUGUACGUGUGGAUACAGAGACUGUUGGGAGAAACUGUACGUGUGGAUACAGAGACUGUUGGGAGAAACUGUACGUGUGGAUACAGAGACGGUUGGGAGAAAGGAUCAGAAGCGGACGAGAGUGUCCGCUGUACCAGAACCUGCCCGCGCAGUGCACUCUGGUGAAGGCGCCUGGCGAGUGCUGUCUGCAGCCCGUCUGUAACUUCAAUCCCACCAUCACCUCCAGCAUCACCUCCGGCCGUGGCCAGACUCCCAGCGGCAUGAGUGUGUGCGAAUACCUGGGCCACCAGUAUGUACAAGGAGAGAGCUGGGACGUGGGCUGUUCCUCCAAGUGUACCUGUCAGGAUGCUCAGACCCGCGAGAUCCGAUGCCAAGACUACUGCCCGCGGUACGGCGCGCUGCCCUCCAACUGCCACUUGCAGCAGAAGAUGGGUCAGUGCUGCGCCGAGCCUGUCUGCGAGUUCAACACACAGGUGGGCAGCAUCACCGGCCACGGCAUGACCAGCGGCAUAGGAGCAGAUGCUCACCCCACCGACCCCCUGCCCUGUGUGGACGUGCUGCCCAACUGUGCGCAGUACACGCAGUCCGCCUGCAAGGACCCCUACAUUCCCCUGGGCCCGGGACAACUGCCGCGCCUUCUGCAACCUGUGCACAACGGGCAAUGCGGUGGCCACACCAAACGACAACUGCACGUACGAUGGCAAGAUGUACAAGCAGGACCAGACCUGGCUGGUGGGCUGUGACCAGCAGUGUGUCUGCGAGGACGCAGUCUAUGGCUAUUAUUGCUGCUAUAACAGAUGUCCGCAGUACACCAACGUGCCCUCCGAGUGCACCCGAGCCCCGGCAGGUGACGGAUGCUGUGAGACGAUCACGUGUCCCGCCAGCAGCCUCUUGACGCCUUCCACCACCAACAUCCUGUCGCUGGGCUCCGGCAACG